GUCCCCAGAAACAUCGCCCGAACCCCUCCCUGGCCCUCCAGCCUUGUUAGGGGAAGAGAAAGGAUUACCCUGCACCUAGAGAGUGUAAUCAAUUCCCCACAACCCUCGGCAGGAGGGACGGGAAAGCCACUGCCUGCUCAAAUGUGUAUGGAUUAAAAAUAUACAAAUGGAAUAUUUUUUUCUUCCCCUCUCCUCAACCCCCUGAAGCCUAGGAUGCUUGUUAAAAAUAGCCUUGCUGUGGCAUGGAUCCUACACAACCCAACGGCUGGCAGAAAAAUUAAGGAGCCACUGGAGACAGCGCUGUUAAGUGGCUACCCCUGGGGAGUGGAAUGGGGAGGGCCAGGAGGGAGGGAGGUGCUUUCAAGUGUUGCCGGACACACUUCUACAUUGCCUGGAUUUUUAACAACAAGCAGAUAUAAAAUAAGUUCAUUGUUUUUUACUGGAGUUUCAUCCUUUGCAUCCUCCAGCCUACGUUUAAGGCUGAAUUCAUACUUAGUGACCCGACAGUACCUGCUGGCUGGCCUGGCAGUGCUCCAAGGAGACCCAGGACGCUCAGGCCACCCGGUACAAACACAGCCCAGCAUCAAGAAAACAGCACUGAAUCAGUCAGUCUUGGAUCUGUAACCAGCUGGCUGUGCGACCUUAGCCCACACUCUGGAGGCCGCAUUGCUGGCUGGUUAAGAAAUGUGGGCUCUGGAAUCAGGUUUGUAUCCCAGCUCCACCACCUAUCAGCUGUGUGACCUUGGGGAUGAACCCAGGAAGCCCUUGAGGAUUGCUGCCACUCAAAAUCCCCUGGACUCUUGUUGGUGACGGGGCAGGAGUGGAGAGGAGGACAAAGCCGGCAGCCAGCAAAGGAGGGCCCAAGUUCAAAGGUGUUAAAAGACCCGUGGCUUUGGGUGUCUCAACCAGCAAACUUCUCCUCCCUCACGGACUUUCUACAGGCUUGCAAGCCAACUGGUUUCCCCAGUGGGGAAAGUAUACCACCACUGUCUAAAAGGAGGGCCUCUCGCCAUGGAUGUGCUACAAGAGGAGAUAACAAAUGCAUUUGGGUUUCCAAUGGCCCAGCUGCACCGUGUUAAGAAAAACGCCGUUUUCCUGCUCUUAAUCCAUUCCUGGUGGAGAUGUUGCUUCAACUUGAAGGAGCCUUUUAUGUGCUGAAGUCAACUGCAAUCUAAAAGAUAAGUUAAAUCACUUAUUCAGGAAGACAGGAAGCCUUUGACAGCAGUGACUGAUUAAGAUUUCACAGCAGCCAGAGCCAGGCCUACGGAACCCAAAGAGUGCUCGUUCCCUCACCAACCAGCACUGUUGGCCCCUCCUUGGCAGCAAGCCAAGCUCAGAAUCCUACCCUCGGGGAGAUUUCCCUCUGACAGAGCAUGGAGGGGGCUGGAGCAGACAGAGGGGAGUGCUAAGUCCCAGCAGGUGAACCUGAGAGCCCUGAUGACAGGAACUAGAGAUACCCCACCCUCUGCCCAGCCCCCUUCCUCACCUCCAUUUAGCCUUGGCCUGGUCUCCCAUGGUCAGCUCAAGGGUCCCCUCUUCCAGGAAGCCUUCCCUGACCCUACAGGCCAGGACUCGCAGGUGCCUUUACACAACAUGUUCCUAGAGCACUUGUACUUUACCCCAUCCUCGCACCUUUGACUCUGAAGACUUGCCUGUCACCUGGCAUGGCAGCCACUUGACUGUGAGCACUCUGGGGGCAGCACAUGGUACCAUGCUGGAUGCCCACUAAGCUCUUGGCACGUGUUUGGAAGGCAGAGGAACCUGAGCUCAGGGAACAGAGUGACUACCUGCCUUGCCAGUGUCACCUGCCAGCUUAUCCAAGUGCUCACAGCCCUGCUGGCUGCUAACCACUGGGCCAGGCCCUGGGGGCAUCCGCAGUAUUCCAACAGGGCUUCUUGUCCUAAAAUGCCACCCAGGCCCCAAAGGCCCACUGUUAGAAUCCACUCUUUUAGCAAAGCAUCACCUCCAGAAAGUUCCCAUCCCCAAGAGGAGGCACAGUCUCACCCUGUGGUCCUCUUCAUCUGCUUGGCCAGCCAGGGAUGGGGCUCAGGGGAAGGAUUAAUCUAGGGCCCAGGAUGCUGACCAGGGUGAGCAGGCUGGAGGAGGCACUGGGGUGGGCAGUCCAUGGGCAGCCUGGGGGCACUGGGUCCAGAAGAUGAAAGUAUGCCUCAAGGGCAUCAAGGUAAGAUCCCAACUUUACACAUGAACAAAACCCUCAGAAGAGCAGAACUGGGCUAAGUUCAGGACAGAAGAGAUGUGCAAGCAGGUGAGCAAAUGAUGUCAAGGUUGGAGGUGAGCUGAAAGGCGCAGGGGGUAGCUCUGUGGAAAGCACAGUGUUCACUGUGUUGGGAGGGCUGGGACCCAAGUUACUCCACCCCUAGUCCCCCACUUCUGCACCAGUGGUAGCCCUGGGCAGGCCAUCAACCUUAGAUAUCUGAAUAUGAGAAUCAUCAUCUGCCCUGCCUGCCUUGCACAACUACUGCUCUACAUUAAAUCAGAAAGGAGAUGAGAAAAUUCUCUAGAAGCCUAAAAGCAAUAUAGAAAUAGAAACUGUUGUAACAAUCAUCAUUUGCUUUUUCAGAGUGUCUUGCAGCCUGUAUAGGGCUUUCCUAUCCAGUAACCUCCUAACCCUCAAAACAACUCUGGGAGAUAGGUAUGGAUAUGUAUACUCAAUUUACAGAUGUGAAAACUGAGGAACAGAUAGUUCCAGCCCAGAAUCACACCAAUAACAAGGGGCUGAGGUGACAGCUAUGUCCAGGUCUUCUGCUGCAAAUAGAGUAUUCUAUUUACCACACCAAGAUGUACCCUCCAUUGUCUAAAAUCACAAGCUCUGGCUGUACAGAAAACCCUCCUUAUUCUUCAGUCUUUCUAUGGAUUUGUUGAUUCCUCCUCCUUCUUCAAUCCAUCCGUGGAUUUGCUGAUUGACAAAUGAGCUUCCCUGGUCUCCUUGUCAUGGCACUGUUUGGGGGAGUUUGUGGUCAGAGUUUUUAUCUGAGGACAAGAAACCAGGCUGCAGCCUGGGCUCAGCCUCUUAUCCAUUGUGGGGCUAAGGAAGAGUCCCUGUCCCCCAGUAUUCUCCAAUCCCAUCUGAUGUUAAAACCUCUUAAUGACCCUGAUCUAAGCAUUUCCAGAAAAAGGUUCUCAGGGCCUUUCUGGGGGUGGCGGGGGCAAUCCUUUGUGACAGCAUGAAAAGCCGGAUGGGGCUGGCCUGGUUGCAAUGGCACACGCUAGGUUCCAGGCACUCCACACGUUUCUCAUGAUAACCUCGUGGUUGAUACUCACACAGAUGAGGAGCUGAAAGGCUGCAGGAGCUGCCCACCAUCCUCACACAGCGUGGAAGUGGUAGCACCAAGACUGAGGCCCAGGAGGGGGGUCCAAAGGGCCAUCCUGCAUUUUCCAUUGCAGCAGGGUGGGAAGGAGAGGGAGAUAGAGACUUUACCUCUACUCUAAAUCACCUCCUUAGGUUGCCAUAUUUUCCUUACUUCAAUGAAUUAUGUGGAACAAAAUACACUCAAUUGGUAGCAGAAAUCGGCCUCCAGUUUCUCAGAUCCUCAUUCAACGAAAGCAUCCUUUGCAGGUGCCACUGCUUGGGAAUACACCUGUAAUUCACAUCUGCACACAAAACUCCAUCUUUCUUUGAGGCCUGAACAAACAGGUUUUUGUCGUUUUGUGGUUUUUGUUUGUUUGUUUGUUUAAGAGAUGGGGUCUCACUAUGUUGCCCAGGCUGGCCUCAAACUCCUGGGCUCAAGGGACCCUACUGCCUCAGCCUCCAGAGUAGCUGGGAUGACAGGUGCACACCACUGUGUCCAGCUUUACAAAUAGGUUUCUUAGGCUGACCUUAUCAAUCUCAACAUCAACACAAUUAAGGAAUUUGCUCACAAUAGUCUCCUGUUGGAGUCUUUACGUGCACGAACAUCGUUCUCACAGACCAUCCAAUAUGGACAAACUUGACUUGGAAACAGGAAAAUAGGGAGGUAAUUAAUCACCUGGUAAAAGGACACACCCCAGAUGUACUUUUCACAUCACCAUCCCCAAAUAUGCCUUAAGGGGCAUCAAGGUAACAUCCCAGCUUUAUACCACAUGAAUAGAGCUUCUCUAUUCAUGUGGUUUUCAGAACAUAUCCAUCUACUAGACUCAGGAACUUGACUUGAGAGACAUGGAUAUUUCUUGCUUCCUGGCAGCAAAUCCAACAGCAAUUCCAGUCCCUGCAGCCAGUUAGGCAGGGAGGAAAGGGCUGGUGUGUCAGGGCUGGUCCAAGCACACUGGUAUACUUGAGUCAACAUCUGCAGCAGAGGAAGGGAGACAGAGGGGACUGAAUAAACGGAGCUGUGCCAUUGGGAGUCCACCAAGCACGCCAAUGCCCUCCUACGCCCCUCAGCUCCAGGCCUCCUGGCCUCACACCACCCUAGAACAUUCUUGUUGCCCAAACCUCAGAGGAGGGCUUUCCCUGAACCAACUCUGACUUCCUGCUUCCUCUCUGACCCUACAUGGUGGUACUCCACCUCUGCCAGACAUCCCUUCCCUGCUCUGCCUGCAGCUUCAUCAAAGCCUACUGGGCCCUGGAGAAGAGAGCCAUGCCAAUCCCCCCUGCAGUGAGCUAGCACAGUGCAUUCAGGCCCGGGAGAAACACAGCUGGGAACUGGGACGCAGAGCUCACACUUCCUCACCUCUCCCUCCCAGGAGCCCUUCCCUGACACAUAGGAAAGGUGACAAUGAAACAGAGACAAAGAAGAGCUCCGAGGAGUAAACAAGCCUGCUCAGCGCUCAGCGUCGUUUAGGUGCUGGAGGGCCCAGGAAUUCUCCCCAGGUGCCCCGGGCAGUGUAGGACUCCUCAAUUUGCCUUUCCCCAGCAGCACAGUCGGUGACUGCCAAGGUGAGGAGCUUUGGGGAACUCCUGGAAGGUCUCACUAGUAUUUGAACUUUGCCCCACCCAACCCUGACCAGGGCCUCCCACCUCCUCCAGCCAGUCAUGUAGACUGGUAAUAACAAACACCCCAAAAUUUCAGUGGCCUGAGACAACAAAAGUGGAUUUCAUGCUCAUAGGACAUGUCCACUAAUUCUUCUCCUCAAUCCAGCUUUUUCAUCUCCAAAUUUAGCCUAAACUAACGGCACAG
rnacentral:lncRNA from 10 species